GACGAACGCUGGCGGCGUGCUUAACACAUGCAAGUCGAGCGGAAAGGCCCUGCUUUUGUGGGGUGCUCGAGUGGCGAACGGGUGAGUAACACGUGAGUAACCUGCCCUUGACUUUGGGAUAACUUCAGGAAACUGGGGCUAAUACCGGAUAGGAGCUCCUGCUGCAUGGUGGGGGUUGGAAAGUUUCGGCGGUUGGGGAUGGACUCGCGGCUUAUCAGCUUGUUGGUGGGGUAGUGGCUUACCAAGGCUUUGACGGGUAGCCGGCCUGAGAGGGUGACCGGCCACAUUGGGACUGAGAUACGGCCCAGACUCCUACGGGAGGCAGCAGUGGGGAAUAUUGCACAAUGGGCGGAAGCCUGAUGCAGCAACGCCGCGUGCGGGAUGACGGCCUUCGGGUUGUAAACCGCUUUCGCCUGUGACGAAGCGUGAGUGACGGUAAUGGGUAAAGAAUCACCGGCUAACUACGUG
rnacentral:rRNA from 1 species